AUACAUAGGGGUCAAGCGUUGUCCGGAUUUAUUGGGCGUAAAGAGCUCGUAGGCGGUUCAACAAGUCGGUCGUAAAAGUUUAGGGCUCAACCCUAAAAUGUCGAUCGAUACUGUUGUGACUAGGAUACGGUAGAGGUGAAUGGAAUUCCUGGUGUAGCAGUGAAAUGCGUAGAUAUCAGGAGGAACACCGAUGGCGAAGGCAGCCCCCUGGGCCAUGACUGACGCUCAUGUACGAAAGCGUGGGGAGCAAACAGGAUUAGAUACCCUGGUAGUCCACGCCCUAAACGAUGUCAACUAGUUGUUGGGUCUUUUUUGACUUGGUAACGUAGCUAACGCGUGAAGUUGACCGCCUGGGGAGUACGGCCGCAAGGUUAAAACUCAAAGGAAUUGACGGGGACCCGCACAAGCGGUGGAUGAUGUGGAUUAAUUCGAUGCAACGCGAAAAACCUUACCUACCCUUGACAUGUUAGGAAUCUCUCAGAGAUGAGAGAGUGCUUGAAAAAGAAU
rnacentral:rRNA from 1 species